CCUACGGGUGGCAGCAGUGAGGAAUAUUGGUCAAUGGGCGCUAGCCUGAACCAGCCAAGUCGCGUGAAGGAUGACUGCCCUACGGGUUGUAAACUUCUUUUAUAAGGGAAUAAAGUGCAGUACGUGUACUGCUUUGCACGUACCUUAUGAAUAAGGAUCGGCUAACUCCGUGCCAGCAGCCGCGGUAAUACGGAGGAUCCGAGCGUUAUCCGGAUUUAGUGGGUGUAAAGGGAGCGUAGGCGGGUGGUUAAGUCAGGAGUGAAAGUUUGGGGCUCAACCGUAAAAUUGCAGUUGAAACUGGCAACCUUGAGUGCAGGAGAGGUAGGCGGAAUUCGUGGUGUAGCGGUGAAAUGCUUAGAUAUCACGAAGAACUCCGAUUGCGAAGGCAGCCUACUGGACUGUAACUGACGCUGAUGCUCGAAAGUGUGGGUAUCAAACAGGAUUAGAUACCCGAGUAGUC
rnacentral:rRNA from 1 species